UCUCUCCCGCCUCAUUGGCUCCUCUCUCAGCAAGGGGAAGGAUUUCAUCUUAUUGGCGGACUUGACGGAGGGGAGAAACUGGGUUUGCCUUGUGCUCGUUCUGCUCGUCUUGGGAGCGCUCACGCCUAAGGGUGUGCAGGUCGAGGCCUGGCCCUCGGCGCCGUGCCAGGAAAUCUGAGACCUCUCAGGCCAAGAAGAUCACCUUGAGGACUCUAUUCUAAAGGCCAUUGAACUUCUUUGGAAAAAAGAACGGUCCUGCUAAGGUGAUAACUGCAAACCAGUGAAGUGAUUGAAGCUAUUGAGGGCGCAGAGGAAAACUGCUGCCCAGAGAGGUCACUGGAAGCCGUCUCUGAGGGUCCUCCUCCAGUGAUUGCAGAGACUUGAACCGAAAUAUUGUCUCUUCCUGGAUCUCAAGCCUGCUGACCUUCAGACUGGAAGUACACCAUUGGCUCUCCUGGGCCUCCUGCCUGCACAUCUUGGAGCUUGUCAGCCUCCAUAAUCACUACUAGAGAUGCAGAGGAGGAUCGGACAUGGGUGUUACUUAUUAAAGGAGCUCACAUUCUGGCAGAGGAGACAGGU